rnacentral:tRNA from 1 species
AGCUAUGUUGGCAGAGAAGUGCGUUAAAUUUAAGCUUUAAAAAAUGCGGAAAUUGCCGCACAUGGCUA